CCACCAGCGCCCAAGGAAACCCUAGCCCUUCUCCCUCCCUCGGGCCGCCUCCCUUUCCCCCUCACGUUCUCUUCUCUAUGUAAGCAAACGAAGGAGAAAAGGACCCCCACAGCACCUCCUCCACCUCGCCAUGGUGCCGCUGCUCCAAGGCUCCCCUCGCCACUCCGAGACCACCCACAGAACCGCCUCGGCGUCCUCUAUAUCCUCCCCAAAGGAAUCAAGCCGGGGUGCUCUUAAUCGUUUCCAAAUUCGCCGUUUCUUCGCCGACUCCGGUGACAAAAUUCUUCAAAUUCCGGCGCUGUUCGACCUCCCCUAGCCCGCCCGAGGACACCAACGCGUUCUUGGAGAGAAACCGCAUCUCCCUGACCCCUUCCCGCUCCUCCUCCUUCUCUGGUUUGUUUCCCCCGACCUUGACCGCCAUUAGCUGCCGCAGGAGCUCAACACCGGCGAUACUCCGGCGACCCCCUGGACUCCUCACCGCCACCAUCGUGCUCCCCAAGUUCACCCACAUCCCCGGCACCAUCUUCCCCUUCCAGGUUCGCCUUGAAGGGUCGGAUUGAUUCACAACUUCUGUCUCCGCCAUGGCUGUAAUGUUGAAGCUCGUCCCUGGCAUCGCUUGGUUCAACUUGUCACGCGCCAGCAUAUUGACAAGAUCUGAACAGUAGCCCAGUGUGCUUCAUUCGGUGAGAAGACCUGCAGCAGUGCCGCCUCGUCAGCGCGUCCAGUCAGCAUCCCUGGUCCCGCAAGUCAGCCCCUGAGGCUAGAACCUCCUCGCAUUUGCUUCUUACCGGGUAGGAUCACGAAGUGGUCCCCGUCUGUCAUUGACCUUGGCUAGUGCUUCAUUCGGUGAGAAGACCUGCAGCCGUGCCGCCUCGUCAGCGCGUCCAGUCAGCAUCCCUGGUCCCGCAAGUCAGCCCCUGAGGCUAGAUCCUUCUCGUGCCGCCUCGUCAGCGCGUCCAGUCAGCAUCCCUGGUCCCGCAAGUCAGCCCCUGAUGCUAGAACCUCCUCGCAUUUGCUUCUUACCGGGUAGGAUGACGAAGUGUUGAUGUGAGAUACGACGAGUUCUCUGACAAGUGCUUCGGCAGGUUUUCACAGGCGAGCCCUCUCUCUUCACCUAUUUUACUCUCUCCCUCGCACUGCUAUCCUUAUGUUGCGCUUCUUUAUCGAGUCACGUGCCCUAUUCCACUUGUUUACCAUAAUAAUCCUAUAUGUAUCAUUCCUUACCCAUAGCCGUUGCUUGAUGUUUGAGCCUUGCGAGUCGUAGGCGUGUUUAGGAUCUGUUGUUUAUCUCGAUCUAUUAUCGGGAUAUCUUGGGUUAUUGGGAGGUUAUCACAUGCUAUAUCAGUUGUUGGAGAUACUCAUGAUUUACUUUAUUGUUAACAACUAAAAUUGUAAGCAGAGGCAUCUGUGAGCCCCUUUGCGAAAGCAUCGGAACCUCGACUUGCUAAUGUCCCCUAGGACCCGAGUUCUUGUUAUCUAUUCCGAGAUUGAGCGCUCUACCCGUACGUGGGGGAGUGGGACCCCCAUCACCCACUACCUUUCCUCGAGUCUGUUUAUUGGGAGCCACAACCUUGGUUUUAUUUGCCCAUAUGCACGAUGCACGAUUUACUUCCUGUUGCCUUCGGGUGUUUAUAUUAUGUACUGUACUCAUAUCGUGGAAUGAUUAGCGACAGCAGGUUGUUCACACUUAGCUUAGCCGUUGGCACAAACCUCUAGGUCCGUAUCGGAGUACGGCCGAACUUCGUCACGGGUAGCUUAGUGGGGUGGCUCCCCUUAAACUUUCUCUUGCAUUGGGAAUGGUCUUGAUGUGAGACUCCACCUGUAGUAAGUGGGUUCGAGCAUGCGUAUGGUUACAUUUGGGCAACCCCUGCAGGGUGUACAUCUUAUCGAUAAGCCGUGUCCGCGGUUAUGGACGACUUGGAAUUGUAUGGCUUGAUCAUAGAACAACUUACAUCUUUAUGUUGCUGCUAAUAACUUGAUAAUAACUUGCGUAGUAAUAUAGCAUUACUACAACGGCUACCUAAUAAAACUUUCCACCGUUGAGUGCCUUUUACAUUGCCUCUUCGCUUUGUUGAAGGGGAUAUGUGUAAUCGGCUGGGUUAUGUUUGUGUAGUAUUUACCUGUUACCUUAUGCGCUCUCUUAUCUUCUCUGAUUAGACGGAUGUUGUAGCGUGUUUCUAUUGGUAAUAGUUAUGCUGCCGCUAAACCUACCAUAUAGCCCCCAAUGAUAUAUAUAUAUAUACUCGCCCGGCGAGCAUAGCCAUUUCUAGUCUCGCUAAGUACGUGCUGGAGUUCUUUCCUUGGUACUUACUCUCGCCUUUUCCCUUUCUCUUUUGCUUCCUCCCUUUUGCCGGCAACCGAUGGCCCGACUUUGACAGGUACGAGAUGACGACAUUAGCAAGGUUACCCUUCCGGCUUGGCCUGGGCAGGGUUAUGGACGCCACUGGUUAUCUUCAGGACUCUUAGUCCAAUUUGUAUCUUGUCCAUACUCGGACGUAUUCGAUCUUUUGUAUGAUUUUGAUCUUUGUAUUGUAUAUUUGUAUCUUGACUCGUUGGAGUCAUUGUUGUAAUAUAUGUAUCUUGUGGGCUCUAUUGUAAUCCUGUUGUAAUGUUACCGCUCGUGUUAAUUCCUCUGGCAUCUCGUGUGUGAUUUGUCGCGCACGUCGUGUCGGAGGGCGUCUC